UACGAAGGGGGCUAGCGUUGCUCGGAAUCACUGGGCGUAAAGGGUGCGUAGGCGGGUUAUUAAGUCAGAGGUGAAAUCCUGGAGCUCAACUCCAGAACUGCCUUUGAUACUGGCGAUCUUGAGUCCGGGAGAGGUGAGUGGAACUGCGAGUGUAGAGGUGAAAUUCGUAGAUAUUCGCAAGAACACCAGUGGCGAAGGCGGCUCACUGGCCCGGUACUGACGCUGAGGUGCGAAAGCGUGGGGAGCAAACAGGG
rnacentral:rRNA from 1 species